UUUAACGGUGAAUGCGGAAAAAAUCCAAAGUACAUGCUAUUCAAUUGCCCCAAAAGUUGCGGAGUCUGUCCAGUUUGUAAGGAUAAAGUCAAAGGUUGUAAAUCUAAGGCAGCAAACAGUGAAUGCACGAAAAACAAAAAUUACAUGAAGCGUAAUUGCCCCAAAACUUGCCGCUUCUGUUAGAAUCAAAAUAAAACCUUCUGACCUGUCUUCUUCCGGAUCAGAUGGAAAAGAUUUGAGGCAGUAGUAUCAUUUUGCUUGCAUGAUUUGGGUUGGGUGAAGGAAUGAGCUGGGUUGCUAAUGUAAGGGGUUUUUUCGCUGUGCUUAUUGCCGAAUUUUAAGCCUCGUUAUCUGGAAAAUAAACAAAUGAUC